rnacentral:tRNA from 1 species
GACCGCGUAGCUCAGAUGGAAGAGCAUUGGGCUAGUAUUCCAAAGGUCGUAAGUUCGAAUCCCACCGUGGCCA